rnacentral:rRNA from 1 species
GAACGGGUGAGUAACACGUGAGCAACCUGCCCCUGACUCUGGGAUAAGCGCUGGAAACGGCGUCUAAUACUGGAUAUGUGACGUGACCGCAUGGUCUGCGUCUGGAAAGAAUUUCGGUUGGGGAUGGGCUCGCGGCCUAUCAGCUUGUUGGUGAGGUAAUGGCUCACCAAGGCGUCGACGGGUAGCCGGCCUGAGAGGGUGACCGGCCACACUGGGACUGAGACACGGCCCAGACUCCUACGGGAGGCAGCAGUGGGGAAUAUUGCACAAUGGGCGCAAGCCUGAUGCAGCAACGCCGCGUGAGGGACGACGGCCUUCGGGUUGUAAACCUCUUUUAGCAGGGAAGAAGCGAAAGUGACGGUACCUGCAGAAAAAGCGCCGGCUAACUACGUGCCAGCAGCCGCGGUAAUACGUAGGGCGCAAGCGUUAUCCGGAAUUAUUGGGCGUAAAGAGCUCGUAGGCGGUUUGUCGCGUCUGCUGUGAAAUCCGGAGGCUCAACCUCCGGCCUGCAGUGGGUACGGGCAGACUAGAGUGCGGUAGGGGAGAUUGGAAUUCCUGGUGUAGCGGUGGAAUGCGCAGAUAUCAGGAGGAACACCGAUGGCGAAGGCAGAUCUCUGGGCCGUAACUGACGCUGAGGAGCGAAAGGGUGGGGAGCAAACAGGCUUAGAUACCCUGGUAGUCCACCCCGUAAACGUUGGGAACUAGUUGUGGGGUCCAUUCCACGGAUUCCGUGACGCAGCUAACGCAUUAAGUUCCCCGCCUGGGGAGUACGGCCGCAAGGCUAAAACUCAAAGGAAUUGACGGGGACCCGCACAAGCGGCGGAGCAUGCGGAUUAAUUCGAUGCAACGCGAAGAACCUUACCAAGGCUUGACAUAUACGAGAACGGGCCAGAAAUGGUCAACUCUUUGGACACUCGUAAACAGGUGGUGCAUGGUUGUCGUCAGCUCGUGUCGUGAGAUG